CCUACGGGAGACAGCAGUGAGGAAUAUUGGUCAAUGGGCGAGAGCCUGAACCAGCCAAGUCGCGUGAAGGAUGAAGGAUCUAUGGUUUGUAAACUUCUUUUAUAUGGGAAUAAAGUGAGGAACGUGUUCCUUUUUGUAUGUACCAUAUGAAUAAGCAUCGGCUAACUCCGUGCCAGCAGCCGCGGUAAUACGGAGGAUGCGAGCGUUAUCCGGAUUUAUUGGGUUUAAAGGGUGCGUAGGUUGUUUUUUAAGUCAGCGGUGAAAGUUUGUGGCUCAACCAUAAAAUUGCCGUUGAAACUGGAAGACGUGAGUGUGUUUGAGGGAGGCGGAAUGCGUGGUGUAGCGGUGAAAUGCAUAGAUAUCACGCAGAACUCCGAUUGCGAAGGCAGCUUACUAAGCCAUAACUGACACUGAAGCACGAAAGCGUGGGGAUCAAACAGGAUUAGAUACCCUUGUAGUC
rnacentral:rRNA from 1 species